rnacentral:tRNA from 1 species
GUUGGGGAGGCCGAGUGGUUAAGUCGUUGGAAUAGAAAUCCAAUGGGAUCUUCCCGCGCAGGUUCGAAUCCUGCUCGCAACG